AAUGUUCAGUGCAAUAUAAAGAGGCAGUGCAACAAAUUGUAUUCAGCACUUUGUUUCUUCUGGUAUUGAAAACUUAAUACAUUUGAAAGUCCUUCUGAGCCAUCUGCUAAUAUACACAGCAGGAAGAAAGUCCCUACCCUUUAAAGCUUAAAGUGGAAGCAGGAUGUACAAAGAUAUAUUUUUCUGUCUAUUCCUUGCUGCCCUCUGUGCCAACUCAAUGACACAGCCUUUAGCCUCUAAAGCUGAUGUGUCUGAACGAUAUGUCAAAGGAAUGUCACCUCAAGCUAGAGCAACUAUGGGAAAUUUUGCAAAUGUUGCUCUUGACUCUCUUGCACGUCGUAGUACUGUGAACCCCAAGACUAUUGCUGCUGUUUUCAAUAAAAUGAGAGCAGGUGUUGCCCUCACUCCUGAAGAGAAGAACAUUGUAGAUAAAUACAUACUCAGGAAUGGAUGAAAAAGGAGUUUCAAUUACUUGGAUGGAGUUUGAAGAUUGCUGUACAGAAUAGCAUGAACCAUCUGUAACUCCAAAACUAUAAAUUCCUGUUGCUAAACAGAAGAAAUAAAGUGACUUAUAUACAAUA